CGUAUAUACGUACGUACAUAAAUGAAUACAUACAUAUUUCGUUUUCAGUUGAGAACACGUUUGAGAUCGUUAGCUUCGUGUCUAGUUGUUGCUGUUGGUAUAUCAGUUUACGAGAAGACGGUAUUCUAUUAAGAGGGGCCAAGUAGUGUCACGUCGACGCACGCAUCCCUCGAGGAUCAACCCUUUGCCUGCGUCCCUGCAUAAUCCACGACCCCGUCGAGACCGGGCACGAAAUUAGAGGCCCCUUUCCAAUCCGACUUCGUCCUCCGGCAUUGUGAGAGAUGAUUUAAGGCAAAAUUAUCAGGAGGAAUCCAAUAACGAGUACCACGGCGAAUAUGUAUCGAGGGUGAAUUAAGAUCGCUGAUCUCAAGUAGAAUUCCAAAUAAGAACACACCGAUUCGAACAUAUAUCUUAAGCUGUUUUUCCUUUCUCUUUUUUUUUCUUUUUUUUAAGAAGAACGAGAAAUAAAAGGCAAACGAAAUUCGAUUAUUUUUCACGAUGACGAUGAUUUUACCGAAAUAAAAACUAACCGUUAUACCGGUUGCUUUUCACGAAAAGGCUCUCAAUCUUCUCUCGAUAAUAUGGAUAUUCGUGUAUCGAGGAGGAGUGGACCGAAGUUGUUAUGACAGUCAGCGGUGGGUCAUCCAUCACUGAGAUUUCGUCCCGACGGACCAACCGCGGACCAACUUAUCCAAUAUUUAAGGUUUUGUCCCUCUCGGCUGAGAGCUGAUAUAUCACUCGCAUUAAUAUAUAUUUGCGGGGGAGAUAACUCCAGUUAGAAUAAGGCGCCAGCCACGGGACGAGUCAACGAGGACGAGGACGAAGAGGAAAGAUGAGGAUACGAAUAAAUAUCCGAGGAGAUCGACCAUUUCUUCGCUCGGCAACGAUUAAACUAAUCUGUCACUCGAAAAAACACAAAACUUUGAGGUCAACCGGUUUAGUAGUUCUUACAACUUUUUCCUGUCUUAUCCAGACGUUGCAAACGAGAUCGCGAAAUCUGACAAAACGAUCCGUCUUCGUGAACGAACUGGUAGGACAGUCACGGCAUAUCCUGCUUUUGAUUCCUUGGACGAAAGUUCAAGAAUCCAUAAUUCGCGGGAGUUAAUAUAAUUAGAUAUACGAUGUUGUAGAAAUGUUGCGGUUAAUUUAAAUAAUAUGCUUUGACUGUCGAAAAGAAGAAAGAAAAGAGGAAAAAAAGGAAGGAGUAAAAUUUAAAAAAAGAAAAUUAAAAAGAUAAUAAAAUGAAUUGAAAGGAAAAGGCGAAUCUAGCCGACUGAAUGGAUACUACCUAUCUUGGAUCACCAAAUUGCUGGUAUAAUAUAGUCUCCGGUCCAAUUAGCUUGUUCGGAGACGAUAAAAUGCAAAUGACUCGUGACAGAGCGCUUCCGCGCGUAUACUUUCUCCUUAGCUGACCUCCCCUCUCUCUCUCUCUCUCUCUCUUUCUCUCUCUCUCUUUCUCUCUCUCUCUCUCUCUCUCUUUCUUUCUCUCUCUUUCUCUCUCUCUCUCUUUCUCGCUCUGUCCAUUUCGGCGAAGCUUUUAUAAAAUUGCCAUCUCAUGAUAAAAGAAGAAAAAAGACAAAAAAAAGGAAAAAUAAAAUAUGAUGACUUCAAAGAAAUCCAUAACCGUUGGGAUUGUUACGUUCGAGUUUUUAGCAUAUGAAUCAGCUUGACAAGACAACAUCGUACGAUGGAUUAAAGUCGGUAGCACGAGAAUCCUUUAACUCCAACGUAGUAGUAACAUCGAACUCGUUAAGGUCGUGGAGUCGAGACUCUGUAAGCGCUCGUGAAAGGGCCCGGACAUAAUGCUAACGCGGCGCAUACAAACGGGCGCUAAUGGCGCGGAUAGCUUUUGUUGUUUUUAAUUAACCCUUUCUUUUAAGACGGCCAAGGGGAACGGUAAAAGCGUAGAAAAGGGGUUGGCUCGGCACCUCUUCGGGCAUCUACACCCUUACUCAAGCUAUCCAACCCCCUCCUCGAACCCUUCCCCCACUACUCGCACCAUCACCACCACUCCAUAUCCUUGGCGAGUCGUCCCUUUUCCUGCCUUAUAUCCUUUCGAAGCCCUCUACGUAUCUCUUGGGAGAUGUAAAUAUGCGGAGAAUUGCACCUCGGAGACAGAACCGAGCUUUUCUCGUUUACGUGAGACUACUUGGGAGUUGAAUUUGGAAGAUGCCCCGGUGCUUUUGCAAUUAAAGCUUCAUCUAAUUACAACAAGACCGCCCAUCUAAUCGUCGGAUACCCGCGGGAUCGCGAUCGAGAAAGAGAUUCUUAACCUGUGGAAAUAUUUUCUAUAACUUAUAUGUAUAUACAGUACAUAUGUAUAUGUAUAUAGUAUGUACGAGAUAUAUGUAAGUGACCGAUUGUCACUUCGAAAAUAAGAAAAAAAAAAGAAAAAAUAUAUAUUAACAUUUUUCAUCAAAUAGUAAGAUUUUUUUUUCAUUUUUCUUUUUAUUGUCACAAUUUGCUUAAAUUUUUUUUUCUUCUUCUCUUCCAUUGCGAAUUUACGCUUGGUGUCAUGCAAUAAUUUUUAUAUAACCGAAUGACUCAAAGGAAACGAAGCAAACGUAAAACGGGAAAGAAAAGAAAAGGGAGGUUACGCGUCGGCGCUUUGUCGUGGUCACCGUACUGUCAAUCAUCGGUGAUAGGAGGCGACACAUUAAUCUCACCAAGACCCCCGUGUGACCGCAUAACCUUCUCUCGUUCUUUCUUUCUCUUUCUCCCCUUUUCUCUCUUUCUCUCUCUUCUGCGGUCAAACGGAGUCUACCUUAUUGUACUGCUGUUUGUACCAACGAAUGAGCUCUCUUCAUUCUCUUUCCCUUUUUUUUUACUUCAUUCGUGUAACGCUUUGU